CCUACGGGUGGCACCAGUGGGGAAUAUUGCACAAUGGGCGCAAGCCUGAUGCAGCCAUGCCGCGUGUAUGAAGAAGGCCUUCGGGUUGUAAAGUACUUUCAGCGAGGAGGAAGGCGAUAAGGUUAAUAACCUUGUCGAUUGACGUUACUCGCAGAAGAAGCACCGGCUAACUCCGUGCCAGCAGCCGCGGUAAUACGGAGGGUGCAAGCGUUAAUCAGAACUACUGGGCGUAAGGCGCACGCAGGCGGUCUGUCAAGUCGGAUGUGAAAUCCCCGGGCUCAACCUGGGAACUGCAUUCGAAACUGGCAGGCUAGAGUCUUGUAGAGGGGGGUAGAAUUCCAGGUGUAGCGGUGAAAUGCGUAGAGAUCUGGAGGAAUACCGGUGGCGAAGGCGGCCCCCUGGACAAAGACUGACGCUCAGGUGCGAAAGCGUGGGGAGCAAACAGGAUUAGAUACCCUCGUAGUC
rnacentral:rRNA from 1 species